rnacentral:lncRNA from 1 species
AACUGUGACGUCCCAAAAUCCGGGUACUUUUUACCACGAAUCUGGUAUACCAAAUCUAUAUUUAUUGCGAAAGAUAUAAACAUAAAUUGUUUAUACAUUAAACUUUUACACAUCAUUCCCAAGGUCUACAACCUUAACUUAAUACAUACAUUCAAUAUCUUAAAUGUUUACAAUACUAUUUUCGUCAGAAGAUUUAAUAGAUCUAACUGCACCAUAAUUUGAUCUUGCACUUUGUCUUUGCUUUUGUCUUUACUCGAGCUUUCAUCUUAAUCUGAAAAUUUUUAUCAUGAUAUAGCAAGGGUGGGCAACAAAUUUGCCCAGCAAGUUUUAAGUACAAUAAAGAUAUAUCAUGAUUGAAAGAAAGAAUAAGCUUUCAAGUUUUUAACAAUAUAAUAAUUGUGAAAUAGCAUGAAUCGAAUUUCAAUACAUGAAUGAAUGAAUUAAUAACGAUGAGUAGUCAACAAUGACCAUGAACAAAUACUUUGAUAAUGAAGGUGAUCAGUCUUUCAUACCUGAUAAACAUAUGCAAUGUGCACUAAGUGCGAAUCAAUAAUCAUAGAUAUGAAAUAAUUAUCAAUAAUUAAACCACUAGCAUUCUGAAAAAUUAUUAACUCGAGUUUGAGUUAGAAAACUUGCCUGUACCGUUGAUUACCGUUAAUCAAUCUAAUUUAAUCUCUUAUAAAAGACCUAUCAUUAAUAAGAUCGAACCUCCGAUUAGCAUAAUACAUUUUAUCAAACAACACUAUUAUUCAAAUAAUAAAUUAGCUAACAUUUAGCCACAUAAUCAAACAUCGAAUAAUUCUUUAACUCACUAGUAAUAUUAUCAUCAUUUGAUAAUAUUAUUAUCACAUAACCAUCAUCUUAAAUUCUCAUCUAAUAUUAUUAAUCUUUUAAUAAUAUUUUAUUACUUCUCAAUUUCUUAGUAAUAUCUUAAUCAUUUACAAAUAUUAUUAUUCAUUUAAUAAUAUUUUAAUCACCUUCUAAUAUUAUUAAUCAUUUAAUAAUAUUCAAAUAAUUUACUAAUAUUAUAAAUUAUUUAAUAAUAUUUUAAUCAUUAUCUAAUAUUAUUAAUUAUGUAAUAAUAUUUUACUUGUUUCAUAAAUAAUAAAGGUCUCACACAUUUUAAGAUAUAAAUAUUUUAUCCUGCUAGCACAUUUGCUUUAUUUUUCGUUUUACAAAUAUUUGCAUUUUUACUUUAUAUAUUAAAUAAAUAUAUAUAUAUAUAUUCCGUUACGUAAAUCUCAACUCAAAAACCACAUUUUGAGCACCGAAAACCUUAAAAUAUCAUUUUUAUGAUUAAUACAAUUUUUACAAGGUUUUAUGUUCUUCGUUGCACCAUAAAAUAAUUUUAUAGGCAACUAUAUUUUUUUAUUAUACUUAAAUAUGUAAUUUAUAUUUAUUACAUAUUUUUAUUGCUUUAUUUAUGCCCGAAAAGAAGUUUCUCGGCAUAAAAUAUCACUUAUAGUCAAAUCUCGUCCCUUAGGACUUUAUUAGAUUUAUUAUGACUUAUUAUUUUGCCGGAACGCGAUUCGGAACGUUGAACGUCAAAGUCGCUCGACGUACAGACGCUCGGCGUUUGCUCCAAUUUUAGUUCUGACAUGCAUGUUCGCCCAUUUUUAAUUUUGAAAUCCUAAGUCAUAUAACAACGAAAUUUUAGGCAUGUUAUAGACCUUAUGACGUAGUAUUUUAGAAAAUUUUCUAAGUGCGAAAACGAAUCACGGAAACUCAUCAAAACAGUGUGCGAAAAUCAUGUCAGGCAGCUGCCCAGCAGUGCAGUGCGACGCCGCACACUGCUGCCCAGCAGCGUUGCCGCUCCGCCGCUCGCAUGCCAAAUCCGCUAUUUUACGAAUUUCGUACACGUUGUUCGUUAAUCGAAUUGAUCCCAUUUUUGGAUAUGUUAUAAAUGGCAUACCAAAGUAUUUUUAAAAAAAUAUCAGGGCUGGGUUUAAGGUAUGAUAGGCUACCCAAACAGAGUGCCAAAAGUGUGGGUUCAUCACAGUUUUUCAACUUUUUGCCAGAUUUACUCUCUCUCGCUAAAACAAUCAUAACUUUUUCGUUUCAAGACAUUUUUGAGCGAUUCUUGAACCCACGCGAAGCUAACUUCCAGGACUACAACUUUUAUUCUUUGACCCUUUCCAAAUUCUAAACAGAGAAUUCCAGAAAUUCCGUGUAAAGUGACUGACCCGAGUUGGUUUUCCAGUUUUGACUCGGCAAUUUUAAAAUAACAUAACUUUUUGCUCCGAAGUCGGAAUUAGUCCGUUCCGGAGUCUAUGGAAAGAUUAUUCAGCGUACUCUAACAUACCAAAAGCUCAGAAUUUUUAGGGCAUUCUAGCUAACCCCUAAUUUUCAUUUUAAGGGCAGCAAUCCACUAGUUUUUCUUAGUUUUUAACAUGUUUUACCAAAACAUUCAAUAUAAUUUCGUUUGAGCUCAUUUUUUUACUUCGUUCCAAAUGGGUUAUUUUCAUAACUCAUAGGAGUAUAACAUACUACUACAGAACUUAAAUUUCAGACAUGAAUCAAAAUCACAAAAGUUCCAAAACAGUCCAUAGUUAGUCCAUUCAUGGCCCUUUUUGCCAUAUGUUCAUCCAUUACGCAUAGGAUCUGAUUCUUGCUUGUUUGAUUCAAUUUUCAAGUUUUUAAUGGUCAUUAUAUCUUCUGAAAAUCAUCCUUAGGAUGUUCCUCAACCCAUAACUCAAAAUAACACAACUUCUAACAAAAUAUGAAGCUUUAAGUAGAUAAAUGGAGUUUAAGGUUUUCAAAACUUACUUCUUUGAUUUUCUUCUUCUAGGAUGUAGAUGAUUAGCUAGAUCUUGCUAGAAUCCGUUUUCCUUCCUCCUUGAAUACUCCCGUUCCCUUAUCAAAGCUUUAUCCUUCCACCCAUUUCAUUCUCUCACUACAAUUCUUAAGAUUUUUGGUGGAGAAGAUGAAGAUGGUGGUUUAGGGAGUUAUGUAGGAGUUUGGUUUUCUCUUCCUUUGGCCAUGCCUGAACUCUCUCUCUCUCUUCCUCUUCUCUACUGAUAGUUCUUCUUGUCUCACUUUGCUAAAUGAACUGAACUUGAGAGUAAGGGAUUUGGGAUGAGAUAUGAAGAAGCUUUGAGUUUUACCGAACUCCUUGAAAUGAAAUUUGAGAGGGAUGUUUGCCAAAUUGGAAUUUCUGUGCAUGGGAGAAUGGAGUUUUGUGUCUUCAAUGACCAUUUGGUCUGAUGGUUUCCCCACUCCUCUCCUCCCAUUGGCCACAAGUGUCUUUUUGUUUCCC